CAGUAGCCGCGGGAAUACAGAGGGUGCGAGCGUUAAUCGGAUUUACUGGGCGUAAAGCGUGCGUAGGCGGCUUCUUAAGUCGGAUGUGAAAUCCCUGAGCUUAACUUAGGAAUUGCAUUCGAUACUGGGAAGCUAGAGUAUGGGAGAGGAUGGUAGAAUUCCAGGUGUAGCGGUGAAAUGCGUAGAGAUCUGGAGGAAUACCGAUGGCGAAGGCAGCCAUCUGGCCUAAUACUGACGCUGAGGUACGAAAGCAUGGGGAGCAAACAGGAUUAGAUACCCCCGUGUCCCUGUCUCUUAUACC
rnacentral:rRNA from 1 species